rnacentral:tRNA from 1 species
GCCGGGGUAGCUCAGUUGGUCAGAGCGCUGGAUUGUGGAUCCAGAGGUCCUGGGUUCAACCCCCAGCCCCGGUA